GAAGCCGUGGCCGAGUGGUUAAGGCGAUAGACUAGAAAUCCAUUGGGGUCUCCCCGCACAGGUUCGAAUCCUGUCGACUGCG
rnacentral:tRNA from 2 species